rnacentral:rRNA from 1 species
CAGCCGUAAACUAUGCGCGUUAGGUGUACUGGUAACCACGAGUCACCGGGGUGCCGAAGGGAAACCGUGAAACGUGCCGCCUGGGAAGUACGGUCGCAAGGCUGAAACUUAAAGGAAUUGGCGGGGGGAGCACCACAACGGGUGGAGCCUGCGGUUUAAUUGGACUCAACGCCGGGAAGCUCACCGGAUAAGACAGCAGAAUGAUUGCCGGGCUGAAGACUCUGCAUGACUAGCUGAGAGGAGGUGCAUGGCGUAGUCGUGU